rnacentral:tRNA from 1 species
UCCCUGAUGGUCCAGUGGUUAAGACUCCACACUCCCAAUGCAGGGGGCCUGGGUUUGAUCCCUGGUCAGGGAA